UAUUUAUUUUAUUAUAUUUAUUUUUUGUUUAUUUAAUUAUUUAAUAAAAAUAAUUUUGUUGAAUUUUGUCUUAGUAUAUUUUGUAGAAUUGAUUUUUUAUAUUAUAGUUUAUUGGUAAUGUAAUUGUUUUAUGAAAUAUUAUUUUAAAUUUUUAAAAGUAGAUUUUAUUUAUUGUACCUUUUGUAUCAGGGUUUAUCAAAAUUUUAGUAUUUACUUUACUUGUCUCGAUUUGGGUUGAUUUAUAAAUAAUUUAUAGUUAAUGUAUCAUAAUUCUUAUUAAAUUAUUUAUAGAAAUGAGAUGUUAACCGUUUCCCAAGGUAUCUAGUUUCUUAAGAAAAAAUUUAAUUUUUUAAAGUUAAUUGUUUUUAUUUAAUUUUUUAAGUAUAAAUAUUAACUUAUUUAUUCUUUAAGGGAUAAGCUUUGAAGUUAAUAACCUAUAAUUUGUUUUAAUAGAAUAUAAUAGUAAGCUUUAAACCAGCUAUCUUUAAGAUUACGUUUUAGUUCAUUAUUUUUAUUUUUGAUUUUAUAAUUAUUUUAGGUUUUUUAUUAAGAUUAUAAAUUUAAUUUUUUAAAUUUUGUAAUAAUGAUAGAAUUAGUAUAUUUAUUUGUAUAUAAUUUUUACCUGGUUAAUUUAUUAUAAGGAACUAGGC
rnacentral:rRNA from 1 species